GAGUUUGAUCGUGGCUCAGAUUGAACGCUGGCGGCAUGCCUUACACAUGCAAGUCGAACGGCAGCAUGAUCUAGCUUGCUAGAUUGAUGGCGAGUGGCGAACGGGUGAGUAAUACAUCGGAACGUGCCCUGUAGUGGGGGGUAACUAGUCGAAAGAUUAGCUAAUACCGCAUACGACCUGAGGGUGAAAGUGGGGGACCGCAAGGCCUCAUGCUAUAGGAGCGGCCGAUGUCUGAUUAGCUAGUUGGUGGGGUAAAGGCCCACCAAGGCGACGAUCAGUAGCUGGUCUGAGAGGACGAUCAGCCACACUGGGACUGAGACACGGCCCAGACUCCUACGGGAGGCAGCAGUGGGGAAUUUUGGACAAUGGGCGAAAGCCUGAUCCAGCAAUGCCGCGUGUGUGAAGAAGGCCUCGGUUGGUAAGUACGACUUU
rnacentral:rRNA from 1 species